CUAAGGCCGAUGGCGACCGGCGCACGGGUGAGUAACACGUAUCCAACCUGCCGAUAACUCGGGGAUAGCCUUUCGAAAGAAAGAUUAAUACCCGAUGGCAUAAUAGAACCGCAUGGUUUGAUUAUUAAAGAAUUUCGGUUAUCGAUGGGGAUGCGUUCCAUUAGGUUGUUGGCGGGGUAACGGCCCACCAAGCCUUCGAUGGAUAGGGGUUCUGAGAGGAAGGUCCCCCACAUUGGAACUGAGACACGGUCCAAACUCCUACGGGAGGCAGCAUG
rnacentral:rRNA from 1 species